rnacentral:rRNA from 1 species
CGCGUAGGCGGUUGUGUAAGUUGGAGGUGAAAUCCCCGGGCUCAACCUGGGCACUGCCUUCAAAACUGCACGGCUAGAGUAUGGGAGAGGAAGGUAGAAUUCCAGGUGUAGCGGUGAAAUGCGUAGAGAUCUGGAGGAAUACCGAUGGCGAAGGCAGCCUUCUGGCCUAAUACUGACGCUGAGGUGCGAAAGCAUGGGGAGCAAACAGGAUUAGAUACCCUGGUAGUCCAUGCCGUAAACGAUGUCGACUAGGUGUUGGGGAACUUGAUUCCUUAGUGCCGCAGCUAACGCAUUAAGUCGACCGCCUGGGGAGUACGACCGCAAGGUUAAA